GCACAGCAACGGGUGGAGCGUGCGGUUUAAUUGGAUUCAACGCCGGAAAUCUCACCGGAGGCGACGGUUAUAUGAAGGCCAGGCUGAUGACCUUGCCUGAUUUUCCGAGAAGUGGUGCAUGGCCGUCGUCAGUUCGUACCGUGAGGCGUUCUGUUAAGUCAGACAACGAACGAGACCCUCAUCUUUAGUUGCUACUGGUAAGUCCGCUUAUCAGGCACACUAGAGAAACCGCUGGCGAUAAGUCAGAGGAAGGCGAGGGCAACGGUAGGUCAGUAUGCCCUGAAUCCUCCGGGCUACACGCGCGCUACAAAGGCCAGGACAAUGGGCUUCAACACCGAAAGGUGACGGUAAUCUCGAAACCUGGUCGUAGUUCGGAUUGAGGGUUGAAACCCACCCUCAUGAAGCUGGAAUCCGUAGUAAUCGCGGGUCAACAUCCCGCGGUGAAUAUGCCCCUGCUCCUUGCACACACCGCCCGUCAAACCAUGCGAGUUGGGCCUGAGUGAGGAUAUAGUCUUUGCUAUGUUCGAACUUAGGCUUAGUAAGCGGGGUU
rnacentral:rRNA from 1 species